GCGGAGUUGUGGUUAUUUUUAUGUUGCUGUAUUGGCGUUUUCCCCAAUACACGCAUUCGUUGAGUCAGCUUGAGUCUUUCCAAUAGAUGUGUUUUCCUUUGGAACUCUUUCCUCCCCAGUUUGAGUCCUUUAUUCCCCAGUAAGGUCUCCAGUCCAGUCGUGUCCUGCUCAUGCAAUGUCAGUCUCCCCUAAUUCAGAGUCGUGUCCUGCUCACGCAUUUUUU
rnacentral:lncRNA from 1 species